rnacentral:rRNA from 1 species
GCAUGGCUGUCGUCAGCUCGUGUCGUGAGAUGUUGGGUUAAGUCCCGCAACGAGCGCAACCCUCAUCCUUAGUUACCAUCAGGUAAUGCUGGGGACUUUAAGGAGACUGCCAGUGAUAAACUGGAGGAAGGUGGGGAUGAUGUCAAGUCAUCAUGGCCCUUAUGGAGUGGGCUACACACGUGCUACAAUGGUGGCUACAAUGGGCUGCAAAGUCGCGAGGCUAAGCCAAUCCCUUAAAAGCCAUCUCAGUUCGGAUUGUACUCUGCAACUCGAGUGCAUGAAGUUGGAAUCGCUAGUAAUCGUGGAUCAGCACGCCACGGUGAAUAC